GAGUUUGAUCUUGGCUCAGAUUGAACGCUGGCGGCAUGCCUUACACAUGCAAGUCGAACGGCAGCACGGGCUUCGGCCUGGUGGCGAGUGGCGAACGGGUGAGUAAUACAUCGGAACGUGCCCUGUUGUGGGGGAUAACCAGUCGAAAGAUUGGCUAAUACCGCAUACGACCUGAGGGUGAAAGCGGGGGACCGCAAGGCCUCGCGCAGCAGGAGCGGCCGAUGUCUGAUUAGCUAGUUGGUGGGGUAAAGGCCCACCAAGGCGACGAUCAGUAGCUGGUCUGAGAGGACGAUCAGCCACACUGGGACUGAGACACGGCCCAGACUCCUACGGGAGGCAGCAGUGGGGAAUUUUGGACAAUGGGGGCAACCCUGAUCCAGCAAUGCCGCGUGUGUGAAGAAGGCCUCGGUUGUAAG
rnacentral:rRNA from 1 species